rnacentral:rRNA from 1 species
UGGGGAAUUUUGGACGAAUUGGGCGAAAGCCUGAUCCAGCAAUGCCGCGUGUGUGAAGAAGGCCUUCGGGUUGUAAAGCACUUUUGUCCGGAAAGAAAUCCUUGGCUCUAAUACAGUCGGGGGAUGACGGUACCGGAAGAAUAAGCACCGGCUAACUACGUGCCAGCAGCCGCGGUAAUACGUAGGGGUGCAAGCGUUAAUCGGAAUUACUGGGCGUAAAGCGUGCGCAGGCGGUUUGCUAAGACCGAUGUGAAAUCCCCGGGCUCAACCUGGGAACUGCAUUGGUGACUGGCAGGCUAGAGUAUGGCAGAGGGGGGUGAGAAUUCCACGUGUAGCAGUGAAAUGCGUAGAGAUGUGGAGGAAUACCGAUGGCGAAGGCAGCCCCCUGGCAAUACUGACGCUCAUGCACGAAAGCGUGGGGAGCAAACAGGAUUAGAUACCCUGGUAGUCCACGCCCU